GACGUAGGAAGCAAGCGUUGUCCGGAAUUACUGGGCGUAAAGGGUGCGUAGGCGGUCUUUUAAGUCUGAUGUGAAAUCCUGUGGCUUAACCAUAGAACUGCAUCAGAUACUGGGGGACUGGAGUGCGGAAGAGGUUGACGGAAUUACUAGUGUAGCGGUAGAAUGCGUAAAUAUUAGUAAGAAGACCGGAGGCGAAGGCGGUCAACUGGGACGUAACUGACGCUGAGGCACGAAAGCGUGGGGAGCAAACAGG
rnacentral:rRNA from 1 species